GUAGAAUUAGUUGUCUGAAAGGAAACCGGAAUUUGGGGUUUCUGCCAUCUUUUGUGGGUUUCCAUGGGUGGGGUGGUGUCUCUGUAUCAGCCUCAGCUAAACAACCCGUGGAUGAGGUCUUUUUUGUGGGGUCUCUGUGUAAGUGGAGGCAUACCACUUACCACUUUUGUCCAGCUUGAAAAUUUACCAUUAAUGACAACUCGUUGUACUCUAUCCUUAAGCCAGUGUUCUCCCCAAC